AGAACGAACGCUGGCGGCGUGGAUAAGACAUGCAAGUCGAACGCGACUUAUUUGGUUAGCAAUAACUAGAUAAGUUGAGUGGCGAAAGGGUGCGUAACACGUGGGAAUUUACCAAGAAGUGGGGAAUAGCUCGACGAAAGUCGAAUUAAUACCGCAUGUGAUCGAAAGAUCAAAGUCGGGGACCGCAAGGCCUGACGCUUUUUGAGAAGCCCGCGGCCCAUCAGCUAGUUGGUGAGGUAAUGGCUCACCAAGGCUAUGACGGGUAGCUGGUCUGAGAGGACGACCAGCCACACUGGAACUGAGACACGGUCCAGACACCUACGGGUGGCAGCAGUCGAGAAUUUUUUCACAAUGGAC
rnacentral:rRNA from 1 species